CCAGUACUGCUUUGUUGGUAUAGGCCUUCUCAAGUGCUCUGAUCUGACUCUCUUUCGAUUUGGGGAAGCUGUCGUGAAAGUGACGUAUACCAGCUUGUUCUGGAAACGAAGCUCCACUUUGAAUCCCCCUCUGGUUCUUCCAGGUCGAUGCUUCUUGGGCCUUACGGCAAAGCGGUACUCCC
rfam:Prochlorococcus marinus str. NATL2A, complete genome.